AGAAUCAUUGUCAGCUGGUCCUUAAUUUUGAUUAAUUGUGUCUCGGUGCGGUGACCGGUUAGAAUGUCAUCCAUAUAGCAGUCGUCACGGAGAGCUUGGCAUGCAUCCGGAUAUUCGUUCUGGAAUUCGGUGGCCAGUUGUUGCAGACAUCUGGCAGCGAAAAUCGCCAGAAGAUAAGUUGGAAUUUUCGAUCUGUUUCAUGGACCACUAUUUGUCGGAACAUCUUUUGGAUAUCACCUGUUAGCACAUACGGAUGACAUCUGAACCUUAACAAUAUGCUGCUCAAAUCGCUUUGGAUAGUCGGUCCCGUUUGUAAAACAUCAUUCAACGACAAACCGCUGGAAGUAACUGCAGAUCCGUUGAAUACCGUUCGCAUUUUAGUGGUGCUACUUUCCAGUUUAAAGACCGGAUGGUGCGGAAAAUAGUAGUGAGGACUAUCGUAGUCAAUAUCUCGUUCGUUCAGCCUUUUCAUGUGGCCCAAUUCCAAGAACUUGUCCAAGGCCAAAAUUCGUGAAUCGCCCAGUUGCUUAUGUGAAUCUUUAAGUAGGAAUCUCACUAUAAAUCUGCCAUUUGAGUCUCUUGUGGUAGUGGUAACGAAUAAAUUCUCAACGAAUAUUUCUUCUUCGUCCCACGUUCUAGUAAUGGCCGCCGUAGUGUCACUAAUGAAUCCGGAUACUUGAUGAUGAGCAGUUAACUUACAAGUUGUUCCACCUACUAUCCAACCUAGUAAUGUGUUCUGAAGUAAUGGAAGUUUGGAACCUAUUUGUUUAUUUCCACUUCUUAGAAUGUCGAGCACCAGAGUUACUCCAAAUAGCAUAUCAACGUUUCUAGACAGAUGGAAUUCAGGAUCAGCUAAAUUUUUUUCAAACAAGUUCCAAUCAUCGGUAUCGAUGUCAGCUCGUGGAAUUGGGUCAGUUUAUUUGUUUAUUUGUUUAUUUGUAUAAAAAAUCAACGGAUCAUAUGUUGAUCCAAAUGAUAACUUAAUCCUAAAUAACUUAUCAAAAUUAAAACCCACUCGACACAGUUCUGGACACGUCUAAUAUUUUCCUUCGGAACACAUUUCUUGAAACGUCAAAGUCGAAAUGCGCAGAAA